CCUACGGGAGGCUGCAGUGGGGAAUAUUGGACAAUGGGGGGAACCCUGAUCCAGCCAUGCCGCGUGUGUGAAGAAGGCCCUCGGGUUGUAAAGCACUUUCAGUGAGGAAGAACGCCUGGUGGUUAAUACCCAUCAGGAAAGACAUCACUCACAGAAGAAGCACCGGCUAACUCCGUGCCAGCAGCCGCGGUAAUACGGAGGGUGCGAGCGUUAAUCGGAAUUACUGGGCGUAAAGCGCGCGUAGGUGGCUUGAUAAGACGGUUGUGAAAGCCACGGGCUCAACCUGGGAACGGCAUCCGGAACUGUCAAGCUAGAGUGCAGGAGAGGAAGGUAGAAUUACAGGUGUAGCGGUGAAAUGCGUAGAGAUCGGGAGGAAUACCAGUGGCGAAGGCGGCCUUCUGGACUGACACUGACACUGAGGUGCGAAAGCGUGGGUAGCAAACAGGAUUAGAUACCCUGGUAGUC
rnacentral:rRNA from 1 species